UACGGAGGAUGCGAGCGUUAUCCGGAUUUAUUGGGUUUAAAGGGUGCGUAGGCGGUUUUUUAAGUUAGUGGUUAAACGUCGGGGCUUCACCUUGAUUUGCCAUUAAUACUGUAAGACUCGAGUUCAGACGAGGUAGGCGGAAUAAGUUAAGUAGCGGUGAAAUGCAUAGAUAUCACACAGAACACCGAUUGCGAAGGCAUCUCACGAAUCCGCGAUUGACGCUGAUGCACGAAAGCGUGGGUAUCAAACAGG
rnacentral:rRNA from 1 species